AGGUCAAUGAUGAGAAUUUAUAUUAUCUUGAAGAAAGAUGAGGACAUAAAAUCACGCUCACUUGGACUAUUCUGAGUCUC